GGGGGGGCAGUUCCCCUUCCUGUGGGCAGCUGAUGUGACAGCCCUAUGACAGGCAGAACCCGGCCUCCAAGUGGCCACGCCCUGUGUGUGUCUGUCCUCCAGCUCUGUGACCUCCUCCAUCUGGACCCUGGGACCACGGGGAGGACACACCAUGACCCCCACCCUCACGGCCCUGCUCUGCCUGGGGCUGAGUCUGGGCCCCGGGACCCGAGGGCAGGCAGGGACCCUCCCCAAGCCCACCCUGUGGGCUGAGCCAGGCUCUGUGAUCUCCUGGGGAAGGCCAGUGACCAUCUGGUGUGAGGGGCCCCUGGAGGCCCAGGAGUUCCGUCUGGGUAAAGAGGGAAUCUCAGGGCCCUGGGACAGACAGAGCCCACUGGGCCCCAGGAACAAGGCCAAGUUCUCCAUCCCGCACAUGACUGAGCACCGUGCAGGGAGAUAUCAAUGCCUCUAUCUCAGCCCUGCUGGGUGGUCAGAGCAUAGUGACCCCCUGGAGCUGGUGGUAAUGAUAGGAACCUACAGCAAACCCUGGAUCUCAGCCCUGCCCAGCCCUGUGGUGACCUCAGGAGGGAAGGUGACCCUCCAGUGUGGCUCAUGGCAGGGAUAUGGCAGGUUUGUUCUUGCCAAGGAAGGAGGACACCACCUCACCUGGACCCUGGACUCACAGCGACACCCCAGUGGGCAGUAUCAGGCCCAGUUCCCAGUGGGAACUGUUAACCCCACCCACAGGUGGACAUUCACAUGCUACGGCUAUUUCAGGAGCAACCCGCAGUUGUGGUCAGGACCCAGUGACCCUCUGGAACUCCUGGUCUCAGGGGUGUCCAGGAAGCCCUCCCUCCUGACCCAGCAGGGCCCUGUCCUGGUCCCUGGAGAGACCCUGACCCUCCAGUGUCACUCAGACGUCACCUAUGACAGAUUCGCUCUGUCCAAGGAGGGGGCACAGGACCUCCCCCAGCGCCCUGCCCAGCAGCCCCAGGCUGGGCUCUCUCAGGCCGACUUCCUGCUGGGCCCUGUGAGCAGCUCCCACGGGGGUCGGUACAGGUGCUACGGUGGACACAGCCUCUCCUCUGAGUGGUCAGCCCCCAGUGACCCCCUGGACAUCCUGGUCUCAGGACAGCUCCCUGUCACACCCUCCCUCUCAGUGCAGCCAGGUCCCACAGUGUCCUCAGGGGAGAACGUGACCCUGCUGUGUCAGUCACAGAUCAAGAUGGACACUUUCCUCCUGUGCAAGGAGGGGGCAGCUGAUCCCCCCCUGCAUCUGAGAGCAGAGUACCGAGCCCCAUGGCACCAGGCAGAGUUCUCCAUGACAGCUGUGACCCCAGCCCUCGGGGGAACCUACAGGUGCUAUGGCUCUCACAGCUCAUCCCCCUACCUGCUGUCACGGCCCAGUGCCCCCCUGGACCUGGGGGUCUCAGGACCCUCUGGGGGACCCAGCCCUCCACCCUCAGGACCCAGGUCACCAGCUGGAGGCCCUGAGGACCAGCCUCUCACCCCCACGGACCCAGGACCCCAGAGUGGACUGGGAAGGCACCUGCCGGUUCUGGUCGGGGUCUCAGUGGCCUUCCUCCUGCUGUUCCUCCUCCUCGUCCUCCUCCUCCUCUGGCGUCACAGCAGACGCAGGAAGGCAGCCCAGACAGAGGCUGGCUUCCAGGGACCUGCAGGGGACACAGAGCCAGGGCCCCAGGACAGAGGCCAGCAGAAGAGAUCCCGUCCAGCGGCUGCCCCUGCGGCCCAGGAAGAAGCCCUCUAUGCUUCUGUGAAGGACCCUCAGCCUGAGGACGGGGUGGAGCUGGACAGUCGGGUGAGACCCCCCCCAGGCACCAAGAACUCCCUGUUCCCGCUCAGCCCAGCGGCCAUGUCCCUGUCCUCCACCGCUGACCCUCAGUGAUGACCAGGCUGCCCCCUCCCUCCCUGUGGCCACUCGGGUGCCCUUCCUGGGCCUGGCUGUUGGCGUCUCCUGGGGCCUCCGAGGACCAGGAAUACAUGAGCCACCGUCCCCGAGGCUCCCCCACACUCCGUCCAGCUGUUCUCAGGGAGCUCCCUCCUGACCGGCUCCAGGUCGGCUGCAGGUGCAGGAGCCAGCAGAGCCCCGCCCCCUGAGCUCACCUGGGCCCCGACAUGAAGUAAACGCAGCCUCAGGAGAGCAGAGCCACAAGGGAACUAAAGCAGAGAAAGGGACGGGGCCGGGAGGGCCCUGAUGAGCCGGGGGCACAGGGCCACAGGUGCCUGACGAGCAGCCGCAGCAGGGGACGCGGCAGGUGCCAAGGGCCCACCUGACGGAGACCCCCAGGGAGUGACAUACGCCCAGGUGGAGCACUCAGGACUCAGGCGGGGUGGGAGCUCCCCUCUCCCCCCGCUGUUGGGGCAGUUCCUGGGCACAGAGGAC